AUAGUACAGUCUUAUCAAAAUGUUUCUGCGAUCCCAUGAGGUCUUUAAUUUUUACUUUUUCUUGCUUUCCCUAUUGGGGGCUUAUACUACAACACCAGAUGACGUAGAUGGUUCCCUCAACAUAACCACUUUUUCAUUCCAUAAGAUUGUGCAAAGGUUUAUACUAUUUUGAUAGAGGCAUCAAAUUGAACUGGUUCGAUGCCUAUGAGUCGUGUCGGCGCAUAAAGGCUGAUCUGGUUGCAUUUGAAACCAUCGAUGAAUGGUAUUUGAUUCAUAAGUAUCU